UCCGCUCUAUAAAAGGACUUUUUUUUUUUUAAGAGGGAGGGGGGAUUGUGGUGUUGGGUAAGGAUGGCCUUGGGAAAUUGUCAUCAUGUAGUUUAAAAUAGAUUUUUUUUUUUUUUUUUUUUNNNNNNNNNUCACUUACAAGAGGAAAUACAUCAUCCAGUUCAAUUUACAACUUACAAGAGGAAAUUCUUCAUCCAAUUCAAUUGAAAAAGGGUAUGAAAUUAGCAUCGGUAAGUUUGAUUUGCCAGCCAA
rnacentral:misc_RNA from 1 species